CCCCCCCCCCCCUGCAAUAUACACUUUGGCACAUGACCUCCCUGUAUCUCAGGGUACAGGUCUUGGGCUCCUUUUUGGGUUCUUUGGGCUACUUGGUACUUUGCAGGCAGGAUUCAUGCUCUUCUUGGGGGCAGGCACUGUAUUCCCCACCUGAGGCCUUGGAGACGAGUGCCCUGGCACUUGACCAGCCAUUCUUCUGCGCCCCCGCCCCGGCCUGAAGCCCGUAACCAGGGUCCAGGUCCCUUUGAUUCUUUGGGUCAGGUUUUGUUCCACUUGCUGAGGUUGAUCAGAGAUGAUACCCACAGACUACAGGGAAGGGUGCAGGCUUCUGGAGGAUACUGAGUGCGUUGGGACACCGAGGCUUAGUGACCUUCCUGUAACUCAGGUCCAGGUCUCUGCUCCUCUGUUCUGCUGCUUCUGGCACUAUGAGAUGCCCCCCUGCACCCUGUAAACAGGGCUGCACCCCCACCCCCUCUGACCUUGGGGGAUAAGACCUCCUUUAGCCCUUUGGGCUCUGUGGCUUCUGUGGCAGGAGGCUGAAGUUGUGGCCCUUCUGUCCUGUCUGGCCCUUCUGUCCACAGGGCAGGUUUGACCCCUGAGCAAGACCGCCUGGGGCACCUGUCAGCUGGCAUUCAGGACUUUGCAGGUUGUGUCUGGGCUUCAUGCCCCAGCAGCCAGCUGUGGGCGGGGAGCACUGCCCUGUCAGCAGGGUUUCUGGUGUUUGUGGUCACCGUUAAUGGUGCCGCCCUAGCAGUUCUGUCCAGAGUCCUGGCCCGUCGCACUCUCCUGGCUGGCCCAGAUAUCAACAGCCGAUCCCGCAGACGUCUGCCCUCACCACUUUCUGCAGACAGAGGACAGUGACCAUGGGUCCAGCCCCCAGAAGAAGAAGCAGACAAGACAGCAGACAACCAACUGAGGAAGAAAGAAACCCCUGCCUGCCCAGCAGGAGGGAAAGGUCCCUGAAGGGCAGCUGGAGAAGAAGGAAGGAAAGCAGGAAAACGAAGCUCGGGAACGAGAAGUGUGGGUUGCGGUGCGCAGGAGGGAGGGAGUGAAAUGUUUAAUGUAUGCUUAGGUAAAUACAGAUGGAGACUGGUGUGCAUGUGUACACUUUCAAACGCCCAUUAGGAGCAAGCAGCCGCACGCUUCAAGCUGCACUGUGCACUCGGUCUUGGGUUGGCCCCGAUUGUGUGCAAGGAGGUUGAGGCUUUGUGCUAGUUGUGCGUAUUGAUAUGCAGCAGUCAAGGGUUUUGCAGGUUGUCUGGCUUGGCUAGUUAAGCAGUGGAUCAGAACAGAUGCAGUUGAAGGCACUGUGUAGGUCUUCCUUGGUUGGGUUGUUGAGCGGUUCUCGGUGUCGGUGUAGAAAUGCAGGUUUGUGCUCAGUUCUGUUUGUGGCUCGGCUGUAGCUUGCUUAGGCUGUAGGUUGCGGGGACAAUUUCAGGCUGUUUGUGGUGCAGUUUGUUUGCGUCUGGAAGUUGCGUCUCCUUGGGUGUUUGAAAGCAUUGUAUCUCCAGCUCCAUGACCCAUGAGGAUGAAGGACUCAUCCUGUGUCCAAAGGAUCGCAAAGGGAGUUGGCGUGGUCGGCGUCAAACCGGUAGGAGCAAGUGGGCCUAAGAUGCGCACAGUCAAAUAAUAAAAUGGUCUAAGAAACUUCACCUCGUGGCUGGUGCUUUUCUACGCUGAGAAGAUUUGUCCACGGGCCUUUCCUGUUGCGAGCUGGCUGAAGGAUGAACUUUUUCAUUCAGUCUGGCGAUCCGAUCUGUGUUCUUACUUGUGCAAUGCAAAUAUUUCCUGUUCUGUUUGACCAGCGGUAAAAGAAUGUGUAACACGUGGUUCCUAGUCUUCGGUUUGCAAUGGUUGAUGCACUGUUUUUUGAAGAAAUAAAAUAUAAGGUCCAGUGAAGUUGUGGUGGUUUGUAUAAUUUAGUGGAGUUCAGCUGUUCCUUGUCUCACCCGAAAAAAUGGUCCCAA